AUUGAACGCUGGCGGCAUGCUUUACACAUGCAAGUCGAACGGCAGCACGGACUUCGGUCUGGUGGCGAGUGGCGAACGGGUGAGUAAUACAUCGGAACGUGCCCAGUUGUGGGGGAUAACUACUCGAAAGAGUAGCUAAUACCGCAUGAGAACUGAGGUUGAAAGCAGGGGAUCGCAAGACCUUGCGCAACUGGAGCGGCCGAUGGCAGAUUAGGUAGUUGGUGGGAUAAAAGCUUACCAAGCCGACGAUCUGUAGCUGGUCUGAGAGGACGACCAGCCACACUGGGACUGAGACACGGCCCAGACUCCUACGGGAGGCAGCAGUGGGGAAUUUUGGACAAUGGGCGAAAGCCUGAUCCAGCAAUGCCGCGUGCAGGAUGAGGGCCUUCGGGUUGUAAACUGCUUUUGUACGGAACGAAAAGCUUCGGGUUAAUACCCUGGAGUCAUGACGGUACCGUAAGAAUAAGCACCGGCUAACUACGUGCCAGCCGCCGCGGUAACAC
rnacentral:rRNA from 1 species